rnacentral:rRNA from 1 species
UACGGGGGGAGCAAGCGUUGUUCGGAUUUACUGGGCGUAAAGGGCGCGUAGGCGGUCAGCACAAGUCAGUUGUGAAAUCUCCGGGCUUAACUCGGAAAGGUCAACUGAUACAGUGCGACUAGAGUGCAGAAGGGGCAACUGGAAUUCUCGGUGUAGCGGUGAAAUGCGUAGAUAUCUGGAGGAACACCGGUGGCGAAGGCGGCGUUCUGGACUGCAACUGACACUGAUGAACGAAAGCCAGGGGAGCAAACGGG